AUAUAGGAAAUUUUCAAAAACCACUCCUGUGGUUUCACAUUUUCUUACUUAGUAUCCUAUGGUUUAAAGUGUAUCAAUUUAUUAGUGCCAUGUGAUUUUAUUUUUAUCUUUUUAUUAUCGAUUUCACUAAUUUUUUCUUUAAAUUAGUGACAAAAUUAAAAUUAAAAAGUACUAAAGUAAAUAUUCGAUAAAUCUAUGUGAGGUAUCUGAAGUUUUGAUAUAUAAUUUAACAAAAUAUUAACGAAUAUUAACGAAAAAGCUGACGAAAAGAUAAAAAUAAAAUCAUAGGGCACUAACUUGAUACACCUUAAAUCACAGAAUAUUAAAGUAAAAAAGUACGAAACUACAUAAAUGAUAUUCGAAGUUUAUCCUGAAAUAAAAUAAAAUAAAAUAAAAGCAUGGUGGGUGGAGAUGUAAUUAAUUUUGAAAUAUAAUAAUGGCUAUUCGUA
rnacentral:lncRNA from 1 species